rnacentral:rRNA from 1 species
GUAGUCCACGCCGUAAACGAUGGAUGCUAGCUGUAUUCGGUAUCGACCCCGGAUGUAGCGAAGCUAACGCGUUAAGCAUCCCGCCUGUGGAGUACGGUCGCAAGACUAAAACAUAAAGGAAUUGACGGGGACCCGCACAAGCGGUGGAGCGUGUUGUUUAAUUCGAUGGUAAACGAAGAACCUUACCCAGGUUUGACAUCCUUGGAAUUUCUGCGAAAGCAGAGAGUGCUUUAUUGAGCCAAGUGACAGGUGUUGCAUGGCCGUCGUCAGCUCGUGUCGUGAGAUGUUUGGUUAAGUCCAUCAACGAGCGCAACCCUUAUAGUCUGUUGUAUUUUUCAGGCUAGACUGCCCUGGUAACAGGGA